rnacentral:lncRNA from 1 species
CUCGGUGCCCUGGAGGACCUGGCCGGCUCCGCGGGAAGCUGUACUCAGAGCGCGCGGCCGCCCUCUGGCAGGGAGGAGUUCGUUGCACUUUUGAGGGUUCUUCACGAAGACAUCCAAUACAUAGAAAACAAGUAACAGCAACAGUAACGAAUUUUUAAAUAUUAAAAUUGCUGGGGAACACGACGGAUCCUGCAGCUGCUCGGCUGUCCCGGUCGUCAGUGACGCUAGGGCUCCGCACCGUACCCUGCAUACCGUAGGUGCUCACGAAACGUUCGUGAGUUCCCUGCUCUGAGGAAACAAGCUUAAAAACUCAGAAUCUAAGGUGUGAGUCUCCGCAAACCUGCUUGUUGGGCAGCGUCCCCCGCCCGGGCUAGCCCUGCACGCCCCACCCCGGAGCCACGCUUCUCCAGCCGGGACCCCUGCCUCCUUCCAGGCUAUUCUCGGAACCGCAGCCAGAGGGAAUUUUUUUUUCCUUUCCUGAAACGUAGAGCAGAUCUGGUUACUCUUCUGCACAACGCCCUAAAAUCUAGGGCCCUUCCCAUCCCUCAGAAUUUACAUCUAAUUCUCAGCUCCCCUCCGGCUUGCUGUAGCCAUCCUGGCUUUUGUUUAGCACAGCACUUACUGUUAGUGACAUUAUAUUGUAUAUUAUUAACAUAUUUGUGUUUUACAUCCCUCACUAGACCCCCAGGAAAGAGGCUUUGAUGUGUUGCCUGCUGCAAGGCUGGCUGCAUAAUUUGUGGAGCUCAGAGAAAAGUGCGGAGCUUCCUUGUUCAAAAAACAGAAAGAAAGUGCCUCUGAGGUCAUAAAAUAUAAAACUUUCUCUUUCCUCUCAGUUUCUCUCUUUUCAUAGUGUUUUUAUGUGUUAUUUAAUAUCAUUCCAAGAAAAAUUUAGAUUUAAAUUGUUAGCAUGAAGUUCACCAUCCAUCUUUACGUUGUGCAAUGCCAGUUUUAAAUACUAAUAUAAGUGCACUGAUCUCAUAUGUGGAAUCACAGAAAUUAUGCAAUUUGUACUUCAUAGCUUAUACAUGCAUAUAGAUUUUGUUUUUACCAGAACCACGCUGGUAAAAACAGAUGCUGCACAAAGUGAACUUGCCCGUUUUCAUCGCACUUUACGUGCACGAAUUCUACCUCUACUCUCGACCUGGGACUCACCGAUGCGUAAGGAAGGACUGAAAAGCAAAAGAACUAUGGACUGGCCUUUUGGCAUGAUCAGGUGUCUAAUAUAAAGAAGUGCAUGAAUAAGAAAAUAUAUGAUAUGAGUGAUGGUUAAUACUGACUGUCAACUUGAUUGGAUUGAAGGAUGCAAAGUAUUGAUCCUGGGUGUGUCUGUGAGGGUGUUGCCAAAGGAGAUUAACAUUUGAGUCAGUGGGCUGGGAAAGUUCGACCCACUGUUAAUCUAGAUGGACACCAUCUAAUCAGAUGCCAGUGCAGCUAGAAAUGUAAAGCAGACAGAAAAAUGCGAAAAGAGAGACUGGCCUAGCCUGCCAGCCUACAUCUUUCUCCCACGCUGGAUGCUUCCUGCCCUCGAACAUCAGACUCCAAGUUCUUCAGUUUGGGACUUGGACUGGCUCUCCUUGUUCCUCAGCUUGAAGACUGCCCAUUGUGGGACUUGUGAUCAUCAG